rnacentral:rRNA from 1 species
CCUACGGGGCGCAGCAGUGGGGAAUAUUGCACAAUGGGGGAAACCCUGAUGCAGCGACGCCGCGUGAGUGAAGAAGUAUUUCGGUACGUAAAGCUCUAUCAGCAGGGAAGAAAAACCGGCCUUAGGGCCGCCAGACGGUACCUGACUAAGAAGCCCCGGCUAACUACGUGCCAGCAGCCGCGGUAAUACGUAGGGGGCAAGCGUUAUCCGGAUUUACUGGGUGUAAAGGGAGCGUAGACGGCGAUGCAAGUCUGAAGUGAAAGGCGGGGGCCCAACCCCUGGACUGCUUUGGAAACUGUAUGGCU